rnacentral:rRNA from 1 species
CAGUAGCCGCGGGAAUACGUAGGUCCCGAGCGUUGUCCGGAUUUAUUGGGCGUAAAGCGAGCGCAGGCGGUUUGAUAAGUCUGAAGUUAAAGGCUGUGGCUCAACCAUAGUUCGCUUUGGAAACUGUCAAACUUGAGUGCAGAAGGGGAGAGUGGAAUUCCAUGUGUAGCGGUGAAAUGCGUAGAUAUAUGGAGGAACACCGGUGGCGAAAGCGGCUCUCUGGUCUGUAACUGACGCUGAGGCUCGAAAGCGUGGGGAGCGAACAGGAUUAGAUACCCCCGUAGUCCCUGUCUCUUAUACC